rnacentral:rRNA from 1 species
UAUAUGUAUGANGUUAUGAUGCGAGUUACUCUNUGUAGUAUUGCUUGCACAUAUUUAUACAUUUAUUUGCAAGAUGUUGUCGGCGUGCACUUCUCCCCUAGUAGAACGUCGCGACCCGUUGGGUGUUGGUCUACGACCCGAGUGGUAGACUUUAAUAUUUU